GAAAGCAUGAAAGGUUAACCCUUCUCCUCGAGCAAGAGGUACUGUGAGUUGAGGACUUGGGCACUGCUGGGGGGAAAAGGAGCUGAGAGGGAAGACGAAACCAGCAUGAUCUGAAUAUCAGUAUGUCUUUCUGUAGCUCUGCAGACAAAUGAAAGAUGCUUGCUUUGUUUGUUUUUAACAGUAGAUCUCACAUAUUUGAAGCUUGUGGCACAUGUGAAAACCUGUGUCAUUGUGACAGAAGCAACAAAAGUCCAGGCCUCAGUAAGGAAUGGUUUGUGGAAAUAGUGUGUAAAGGGUUGUCAUAGUAAUUAAAUAGUGAGUAGAUUUUCUGGGACAUCCAUAUCGAAGUCUUUCAUACACAGUGUUGUAAUCAAGCAAUACUCUUUGGGAUGCAUCUGGAUAAAAAGCGUUGACUAAGUGUAGAUUCUUUUUUAAAUCAGCUCUUUAAAUUCCUCCCAUUUUUAUCAUUGAUUGUGAACUUGGUUCUGAGGAAGUCAUUUAACACUGUGAUUAGCUGGGGAGUUUGUUCUUUACUGGCCUGUCUCAUUGAGAUGCAGAGAUAGCUGCCUGUGGAUUUGCAUGCUAAAAGUACGUAUCCGGUUUUUUAGAAGGAAAUCAGUAGGCAAAUUGUCCAGGAACAGACUCACUUGUGUUUUUGCUGUACUUUUCAGAUGAACAGAUCCUCUAACGCCUCCCCUGCAGUGUGAUCUCCUGCUUGUCAGGCAGUGAUUGUGCUUGAUUUUUACCAUUCCUGAUACCAAUGACAUCAAGAGUUUUGUCUCAACAAGCAAAGUGCAUUACAAGCACACUUCAAAGCCCAGGGACGUCUGAUGACUACUAAGCUUAAAUCCCAACAUCUCCAAUCUCACUGAAUGGAUUGGAAGUUGAAAGGUCAGCCUUGUGAGGGGUGUGAUUUCACUUCAUUUGGAGACGCAGGAGGAGGAAAAAAAUCUGGUUUAUGUCUCACAUCUGCACAGUAAAACUACUGAGGAUUGGUAUGAAAAGCGAUUGACCACGUAUGUAUUAAUUUCUGCACAGUUUCCACUUUGGUUUAUAUUUGAACUCCUUUGUCUGUCUUACCCAUUGAGGAGUCUAAAUACUAUAUUUCUUUAAAAAAGAAGUUUGGUAACGCUUUGUCCCCUGAUUUAAGCAGUCUGAUUUCCUCAGUGUCACCAAAGUACACUUAAGCAAGCAAAACACACAGUGCCUAUAGUCUAUACAGAAUUACAGAUGAUGCACAUCUGUCUUCAGUGAAUUGGUGCUACACUAAAGAAUUCACAUGCAAUUGAAUACAAAUCAUAUUCAGUCAAAUCCAACACAUUUCACUCAAUAAAGGAGUCGCUAGAUAAAGUAAUGAUGGCCUGUGAUACACAUAAAGUCAAGAUGAGGUUGUCUAGUGGUUCCUUCUGACCUUGAAUUCUGUCAGUCAGUAGGUGGCCCACACCACAAACGCAAGUUCUGGAGAACUUUUGCAUUAUCUGAUGUAGUUAGGUUUGUAUGAUGGCUCCCUGUUAACAGGAGGAGUAAGUGCUGAAAGUCUAGGAGCAAACUAGAAUUGAAGGAAUUAAUGAGUAGUAGGAACAAAGAACUAAGCACAUGCUUCACCUUGACAGUCUGAUCUCUGCACAAAACCAAAGGAUUCUUGAUUAAUACCAUUUGACAUGUCCUUCCAUACUUUUCUAGACCCUUUGGGAAGCCUUCCUUGAAGGGAGGCUUGCUAGAAUGUUUCCAUCUGUGCCUUAGAUCUUGGCAUCAUGUAUGUAUUCGAUUUAUCUUAAGUCAUACAUUUGUCCCCCUAUUACAAUGUUAUGUGGAAAAUCCAGUGAACUGACAAAGUGGGGCUUUCCCUGGGAUUUAAGAGGGUUUAUCUGCAUGGCAUUACUGUGACCCUCUGCCACUGAGGUUGUGGAAAGUUGUGUGUAUGUGUGGAAGAAACGGCAUCUUUCCUGCUGACUUCACCGUCCUCCCGCAUACACAAGCACAUCUGCACACGUGUGCAUAUUGUCAUAGCAGAAGUUUGACAGAAACCCAGUAUAUAUGCAAAUGCUUAAAUUUCUAAAUCUGGAAUGGCUUCACAAGAAAAAUUGCCUUGAAAAAUGGCAUCCCUUUACUUUGUAUCUUCAGGGUUUUUUACAUUCCCUUGAGAGUGUGUGUGUGCACAUGUUGUAGAGGUUUUGUUUGCUUUUAAAGUGCGAAACUCCUGAAGAGCAGUUUGAGAGCAGGAGAGGGAAGCUCACUGCAGAAACCUUCUGUAAGAUCAUGCUUUUGCAGCACAAAAUAUUUGAAAGCUAUUUCACUUUAUGUAUUUCUGAAGUGAAUAAUUCUUGCCUUGAUGUUGCCAACUAGACGAUAGAAAAUAGAAUGGGUUGUUAACUAUUUUGACCUUUUUCUCUCUCUCUUUUUGGGUUCCUUUCCACAUUUAUUGCAUGGAAAAUCACCCCCAAUGGUGAUACAUGGUUUAGGGAUUCAGUCAUACCAGUCUUAGAGGACUAUGGGCAACUGCUGAUGACUUUUAGGAGGUUUUUAUAUUAGGUGAGGCAACAGGAGUUUUCCUGUUACUCCUCAAUUUAUACACUUGAGUUUCAGAGAAGAUCACAUGUUUGGGGGUUUUUAGUUUUAUAGGGCUCCAGUAUUGUUCCCACAACAUCAGUUAAGGCUUCAGGUUUUCUUUUGUUUCAUUCUUGGUCGGAUUUCUGUGUUAGAACAGAAGUGGUAGUACUGAAUUGUAGCUUGGACCGUAAAACUUGAUUCAGUUACAAAGAAACACAACUUAGAUAAUAGAAUGACUGAACUGCUUUUAUAUCUGAACUGCUUCUAUAUCUGAACUUUUCCAUCAUGAGUAAGGUUUUGAAUCAAGAGAGAUCAAUGUUAGGAGCAAGCCUUUAAAUUAACAAUACAAUGAAUAAAUUGCUCUUUUUCUUCUUCUAACCGUGUAUUUAAAUGUGUUUUAAGUGAAUGGAGUUCAUUCUUGUUUAAAAAAACAAAAAAGGGAAAAAAAAAGAGCUUGGAGGUUAUGAGGACUUCAGGUUGUACUCUUGCUUUGCCUAGGUUUCCUGUUCUGUUGCAUGACACAACUUCUGUUGUGCUGUUGAUAUGUAGCACUUUUCAGUAGGUCUGUCAAAUUGUGCAAUGCAUUUUUUUAUAUUUACAACCAAAACAAUAAAGGUUAUUUUU
ensembl:lncRNA